UCGUCCUCUGACACCCAGUAUAAAGGAUAAUGCCUGCCCAGUGAAUAUUUAAACGGCCGCGUUAGCGUGAGCGUGCUAAGGUAGCGUAAUAAAUAGCCUCUUAAUUGGAGGCCAGUGAAUGGCAAGACUAGGAACACCUAUACAUUCUACGUCAAAAAAACUUUUCGUCUAAGUGAAAAGACUUAGAUAACCAAGGAAGACGAAAAGACCCCGCGGAGCUUUACUUUUUCUAUAUACAAAUAUCAACAUCUAUAAAUAUCAAAAGUUUGAUUGGGGCAAUCUCGGAACCACCAAGCUUCCGACCACUUAAAGAAACUAAUAAAAAACUUAUUACGGACAAGACAGAAGCUACCCCGGGGAUAACAGCGUCAUCCAACUUGAGAGUACACAUCGAAAGUUGGGUUUGCGACCUCGAUGUUGGCUUAAGGAUAUCCGCAUCAGUGCAGCCGCUAUGCAGGACAGUCUGUUCGACUAUUAUACCCUUA
rnacentral:rRNA from 1 species